GAAUUAUUAAAAAAGAAAUGUUCUCAUGCUGCAACUAGUGAUCUGCCAUACGUGAAUUCUGCAGGGAAUGGAUCCGGUUCUAAUCUGAGUACAAAACGUACUCGUCUGCAAACUUCCAAUCAAGCAUGCCAAAAUUUUGUAGCAGAUGGACUGAAUUCUAGUAGUACUAUUGUCACCACAGAACGAACUACUACU